rnacentral:rRNA from 1 species
GACAGAGGCCUCAAGCGUUAGGCGGAAUCACUGGGCUUAAAGCGUGUGUAGGCGGAUCGUUAAGUGCCUUGUGAAAUCCCACGGCUUAACUGUGGAACGGCUGGGCAUACUGGCGGUCUUGAGCCAUCUAGGGGCGACUGGAACAAACGGUGGAGCGGUGAAAUGCGUAGAUAUCGUUUGGAACGCCAAUGGUGAAAACAGCUCGCUGGGGGUGCACUGACACUGAGACACGAAAGCCAGGGGAGCGAACGGG